AAGUCGUAACAAGGUCUCCGUUGGUGAACCAGCGGAGGGAUCAUUACCGAGUUAUACAACUCCCAAACCCCUGUGAACCUUACCCGCGUUGCUUCGGCGGCCGCGCCCCGGGCACACCGCCCGGAACCAGGCGCCCGCCGGGGGACCCCAAACCAUGAAUCUUUACAGCGGAAUCAUCUGAGUGGCACAAGCAAAAUAAAUCAAAACUUUCAACAACGGAUCUCUUGGCUCUG
rnacentral:misc_RNA from 1 species